GCGCCCCAUCCGCACACUCUCUUUCGCAAUGGCAGUGCAUUAGGCCCUCAUGACAAUUAGCCUGGGAAAAGGUUUACGACCGGCAGGCCCACAGGAGCGUACAAAUCGGCACAGCCGGAGGCAGCCUCUAGAACAGGAAGGAAUUAAUCAAAAACCAGAGGAAGGACCGGCCCUACGUGUUGUCGCUGGAUCAAAGACUGAGCGACUUACCUUGCGGCAGAUAUUCAGGCCGCACCACAAGGCCAAAUUAACACCUCUCCUCGGCUCUGACGGGACCUCAUUAGCUCUCUUCCACUCCGAAAGAGAAAAGAACAGGAAAGAAGAAGAGAAGAUGACGACGAAGAAGAAGAAGAAGGAGGAGGGAGACGACCAAUGACAGCCACCAGCUCGGGGAUUAACCCUUUCACGCGACCGAACGCUUCGGGAAUCUAGGUCGACGCGUGUUUCUAAUCAGCCGCCUGGUUAACGAUAAUUAGCAGGCGAGGCAGGAGGGGAGGAGAGGGAGGGACACGCAGAAAUGAAACAGAGAAAGAAAAGAGAAACCUGUCAUGUCGCAAACACUUCAAAGCCGACGACUUCUCUUUUAAAAGCGGCACGAUAAGGGUCCAACAACCACCAGGGACCUUGAGAAAGCGCAGCGCUGGAGAAGGGAGGAGAACGAGGGCCGAAGAGACCUAAAACACACACACACACGCUUCAUAGGGACCCAAAACACACAAACACACACUCCACCUACAUAACGCUGCCAGCUCUUAUAGUUUACUCUCACAGUUAAACUUUUCCAGCACAGUAAGUGGUCCCUGUGAAGUUUACCCAUCAUGCACCUCUCUGCUUUGAAUCUUGGAAACUGCAUAUUAUAAAAUGCACCAUUUCAUUCAUGCUAAAACAAAAUAUACUAAAGUUAUGAUGUGAAACACCUGUUCACCAGCUACUGUCCUUGAUGUUUUUAUUAUAUAAUAACCAAAUCUACAGGGUACUCGAGGCACUCAUGAUAUAUUGCAAGUAUAUUCAAUAGCAUGUUGUGCCGUUCGAUACUACAAUUUACAAUUUAAUUAAAAUUAUAUUCACUAAUUUGCAUUUGUAAGUCGAGUUUUCCAGUUCUGAUUAAUGAUAAAAGGAUUUUUAAAAACGCUGUUAAAAAGACUGGAUUGAUAAGGAGCAAUUAAUAGCUUAUGAAAUAUUUCGGAGCAGUGCUAAAUAUACAUAUACAUAUAUGUGUGUGCGUGUGUGUGUGUGUGUGUAUAUAUGGUAAAUAUAAUCAUAGCAUUAGGGCACUGAUAAGUACAAUCAGCAUUCCCACACUCAUGGAAAGCCUGGAAAUAUUUUAGUAAAAAAAAAAAAAAAAAAAAAAAAAAAAAAAAAUUAUAUAAAUUUAUAUAUAGAGGGUAUGCAUUAACGCCAUUUUCCUCGCCGGAACGCGCUCCCUCAGCUGGACUGAGUGGCAAAAGAGCUGCUGCAUGACUGGAUUUAAUAGGGGAAACUGCAAAAACGUGAGUAAAACAAACGAUUUAUAUAAAUAAAAUAUAGGUAGGUCUAAAUCGGAGCGAUCACUUAUAUCAAUGUUAUAUAUGAAGAGUUCAGAUGCAAAAGCCUCUAAGU